UACGUAGGGUGCAAGCGUUGUCCGGAAUUAUUGGGCGUAAAGAGCUCGUAGGCGGUUUGUCGCGUCGGCUGUGAAAACUCCGGGGCUCAACCCCGAGCCUGCAGUCGAUACGGGCAGACUAGAGUGCUGUAGGGGAGACUGGAAUUCCUGGUGUAAGCGGUGAAAUGCGCAGAUAUCAGGAGGAACACCGGGUGGCGAAGGCGGGUCUCUGGGCCGAUACUGACGCUGGAGGAGCGAAAGCGUGGGGAGCGAACAGG
rnacentral:rRNA from 1 species